GCGGAAGUGGCGGAACUGGCAGACGCGCAGGAUUCAGGUUCCUGUGGGGUAAAACCCGUGGAGGUUCGAGUCCUCUCUUCCGCA
rnacentral:tRNA from 1 species